AACGAACGCUGGCGGCAGGCUUAACACAUGCAAGUCGAACGCCCCGCAAGGGGAGUGGCAGACGGGUGAGUAACGCGUGGGAAUCUACCCAUCCCUACGGAACAACUCCGGGAAACUGGAGCUAAUACCGUAUACGCCCUUAGGGGGAAAGAUUUAUCGGGGAUGGAUGAGCCCGCGUUGGAUUAGCUAGUUGGUGGGGUAAAGGCCUACCAAGGCGACGAUCCAUAGCUGGUCUGAGAGGAUGAUCAGCCACAUUGGGACUGAGACACGGCCCAAACUCCUACGGGAGGCAGCAGUGGGGAAUAUUGGACAAUGGGCGCAAGCCUGAUCCAGCCAUGCCGCGUAAGUGAUGAAGGCCUUAGGGUUGUAAAGCUCUUUCACCGAUGAAGAUAAUGACGGUAGUCGGAGAAGAAGCCCCGGCUAACUUCGUGCCAGCCGCCGCAGUAA
rnacentral:rRNA from 1 species